rnacentral:rRNA from 1 species
GACGAACGCUGGCGGCGUGCUUAACACAUGCAAGUCGAACGGAAAGGCCUGCAGCUUGCUGCGGGUACUCGAGUGGCGAACGGGUGAGUAACACGUGGGUGAUCUGCCUUGCACUUCGGGAUAAGCUUGGGAAACUGGGUCUAAUACCGGAUAGGACAGCUGUUUAGUGUCAGUUGUGGAAAGUUUUUUCGGCGCAAGAUGAGCUCGCGGCCUAUCAGCUUGUUGGUGGGGUAAUGGCCUACCAAGGCGUCGACGGGUAGCCGGCCUGAGAGGGUGUACGGCCACAUUGGGACUGAGAUACGGCCCAGACUCCUACGGGAGGCAGCAGUGGGGAAUAUUGCACAAUGGGCGGAAGCCUGAUGCAGCGACGCCGCGUGGGGGAUGAAGGCCUUCGGGUUGUAAACUCCUUUCGACAGGGACGAAGCGUAAGUGACGGUACCUGUAUAAGAAGCACCGGCUAACUACGUGCCAGCAGCCGCGGUAAUACGUAGGGUGCGAGCGUUGUCCGGAAUUACUGGGCGUAAAGAGCUCGUAGGUGGUUUGUCGCGUCGUCUGUGAAAUUCCGGGGCUUAACCCCGGGCGUGCAGGCGAUACGGGCUGACUUGAGUGCUGUAGGGGAGACUGGAAUUCCUGGUGUAGCGGUGAAAUGCGCAGAUAUCAGGAGGAACACCGAUGGCGAAGGCAGGUCUCUGGGCAGUAACUGACGCUGAGGAGCGAAAGCAUGGGUAGCGAACAGGAUUAGAUACCCUGGUAGUCCAUGCCGUAAACGGUGGGCGCUAGGUGUAGGGGGCUUCCACGUCUUCUGUGCCGUAGCUAACGCAUUAAGCGCCCCGCCUGGGGAGUACGGCCGCAAGGCUA